AUUGAACGCUGGCGGCAGGCCUAACACAUGCAAGUCGAGCGGAUGAAGGGAGCUUGCUCCUGGAUUCAGCGGCGGACGGGUGAGUAAUGCCUAGGAAUCUGCCUGGUAGUGGGGGAUAACGUCCGGAAACGGGCGCUAAUACCGCAUACGUCCUGAGGGAGAAAGUGGGGGAUCUUCGGACCUCACGCUAUCAGAUGAGCCUAGGUCGGAUUAGCUAGUUGGUGGGGUAAAGGCCUACCAAGGCGACGAUCCGUAACUGGUCUGAGAGGAUGAUCAGUCACACUGGAGCUGAGACACGGUCCAGACUCCUACGGGAGGCAGCAGCGGGGAAUAUUGGACAAUGGGCGAAAGCCUGAUCCAGCCAUGCCGCGUGUGUGAAGAAGGUCUUCGGAUUGUAAAGCACUUUAAGUUGGGAGGAAGGGCAGUAAGUUAAUACCUUGCUGUUUUGACGUUACCAACAGAAUAAGCACCGGCUAACUUCGUG
rnacentral:rRNA from 1 species